AGGACAAAAAACCAAAAAAUUAAGUGCCUAUUAGGGCGUUUAACGGAAUGAUAAUGUUUGAUAAGUGUAAUGCCAGUGGGGCUGUUGUUGUUUUUUGCUAAACUUCCACCCACAGGGCGACGGUUAUUCUCGGUAUCCGAAGGAUGACGUUGGCCAUUUAAAAGACUCGAAAAGUCCGGAGAUGCUGUGCGCUCGAUCUGUAGUUGAAUCAAACUGACACCACUUGCUUGGGAGGGAGCAGCAGCAGCGAGGAGCAUAGGAGAACGAAUUGAAUGGGCGGAACCCGUGCAAACGAAAGGCAAAUGGGUGCGCCGCUUUUACGAGGCUCAUCAUCAUAAAAAAGCAUUCAUUUAUGCGCACCAUCGAGCAGGAAGCAGCCGGCUUCUUGGCUUCACUCUUGAGCAUACUUUCCACCCCAUAAGAGAAGGACACAUGGAGCAGCAGCAGCAGCAGCAGCAAACGUUCUACGACAUGAUGAGAACAAUUGUUAUUAACGACCGUUGUUUACACUUCUAUGAAUCUCAAAGGUGCCACUUAAAGAGUCGACAGCCCACUCCUGGCCAGCCGUAGAGCUUGCUUGGAUAGGAGAAAGCACCACACUUGGGCGGGCGGGUGUGUGUGUGUGAAGGAUUGUUGGCAAAUCUUGGCCCACAUUCUGCUCACCUAUUCUUUCUUUCUUUCCUCCUUUCUUUUGGUAGAAUGAAACGAUGGGGGCCGUUGAACGGCCGGUUGAGCCAGCAUGAGCAACGGUCCGAACGGUGACAACGAAUGAAUGUAAGUGAGCGUAGCGAAAAUACGAAGAAAAGCUCAUCAAAAGUACAGUCCAUAGAAUCACUUCGCUGUAAGUGUUUCCAUAAGUGAGAUUGUUGAGCUAUGCAUAGGAAACUUUAACGUUUUGCUCAUACCAUUUUACAAGAUUGUACAAAAUUUAGUGUAUAUUUCAAUAAAAAACUUACGAAAUAAGGCUGCAAA